rnacentral:rRNA from 1 species
CCUACGGGCGGCAGCAGUCGAGAAUCAUUCACAAUGGGGGAAACCCUGAUGGUGCGACGCCGCGUGGGGGAAUGAAGGUCUUCGGAUUGUAAACCCCUUUCAUGUGGGAGCAAAUUAAAAAGAUAGUACCACAAGAGGAAGAGACUGAUAACUCUGUUCCAGCAGCCGCGGUAAUACAGAGGUCUCAAGCGUUGUUCGGAAUCACUGGGCGUAAAGCGUGCGUAGGCUGAUACGUAGGUCGUGUGUGAAAGGCUCGGGCUAAACCCGCAGACGGCACAUGAUACUGCGAGACUAGAGUAAUGGAGGGGGAACCGGAAUUCUCGGUGUAGCAGUGAAAUGCGUAGAUAUCGAGAGGAACACUCGUGGCGAAGGCGGGUUCCUGGACAUUAACUGACGCUGAGGCACGAAGGCCAGGGGAGCGAAAGGGAUUAGAUACCCGAGUAGUC